rnacentral:rRNA from 1 species
UACGUAGGGUCCGAGCGUUUGUCCGGAAUUAUUGGGCGUAAAGAGCUCGUAGGCGGUUUGUCGCGUCUGCUGUGAAAUCCCGAGGCUCAACCUCGGGUCUGCAGUGGGUACGGGCAGACUGGAGUGCGGUAGGGGAGAAUGGAAUUCCUGGUGUAGCGGUGGAAUGCGCAGAUAUCAGGAGGAACACCGAUGGCGAAGGCAGGUCACUGGGCCGCAACUGACGCUGAGGAGCGAAAGCAUGGGGAGCGAACAGG